rnacentral:lncRNA from 10 species
UCUGAGAAGUGAGGAGCCCCUCCGCCCGGCAGCUGCCCCGUCUGAGAGAUCUGGUCAUACAGAGUGGAGGGGUUGCCUCAGCCCAGGAAGGAAGCAGAAGACCCAGGCAGAUGCAAGCAGGAAAGAAGGCUGAGCUCAGUGGCACAUGCCUGUAAUCCCAGCACUUUGGGAGGCUGAGGCAGGAGGAUCGCUUGAACCCAAGAGUUUGAGGCUGCUGUGAGCUGUGAUCACACCACUGCAUUCCAACCUGGGCAACAGAAGGAGACCCUUUCUAAAAAAUAAAAUAAAAUAAAAUAAAAUAAAA